UUUCCAUUUCUUUACAUCCUCUUUAAUUUCCUUGAUUAAUGUUUUAUUGUUCUCAGAAUAUAAGUCUUUCACUUCCUUGGUCAGGUGUAUUUCAAGGUAUUUGAUUUUUUGGAAUGCAGUUUCAAAAGGUAUUGUAUUUUUAUAUUCCUUUUCUAAUAUUUCAUUGUUAGUGUACAGAAAUGCAACUGAUUUCUGAAUGUUAAUCUUAUAUGCUGCUACUUUGCUGAAUUUGUUUAUCAGUUCAAGAAUUUUUGAGUUGAGUUCUUAGGGUUUUUGAUGUAUAAUAUCAUGUUAUCUGCAUAUAGUGACAGUUUUACCUCUUCUCUUCCUUUUUUGAUGACUUUUAUUUCUUUCGUUUGUCUGAUUGCUGUGGCUAGGACUUCCAGUAAUAUGUUGAAUAACAGUGGUGAGAGUGGGCAUCCUUGUCUUGUUCCCAAUUUUAGUGGGAAGGCUUUAAGCUUUUCUCCAUUGAGUUUUACAUUUGUUGUGGGUUUGUCAUAAAUGGCUUUUGCUAUGUUAAGGUAUGGUUCCUCUAUACCCACUUUGGUAAGAGUUUUUAUCAUGAAUGGAUGUUGGACUUUGUCAAAUGUUUUUUUCUGCAUUUAUUGAAAUGAUCAUGUGUUUUUUGACUUUUCUUUUGUUAAUGUGGUGUAUGAUGAUUGAUUUGCAUAUGUUGAACUAUCCCUGUGUACCUGGAUGAAUCCCAACUGGUUGUGGUGUAUGAUCUUUUUUAUAUGUUGUUGGAUUUGGAUGGCUAAAAUUUUGUUGAGAAUUUUUUUGUCUAUAUUCAUCAAAGAUAUUGGCCUAUAGUUUUCUUUUUUGGUGAUAUCUUUGUCUGGUUUUAGAAUUUGGGCAAUGUUGGUGUCAUAGAAUGUCUUUGGUAGUGUUCCUUCUUCAACCUUUUGAAAAAGUUUAGGGAUAGGUAUAAGUUCCUUUUUCUAUGUUUGAUAGAAUUCACGUGUGAAGCUAUCUGAUCCUGGACUUUUAUUUGUAGGGAGUGUUUUUAAGACAUGUUCAAUUCCAUUUCUAGUGAUUGGUCUGUUCAUUUUUCUAUUUCUUCUUGAUUCAGUUUUGGCAGGCUGUAGGUCACUAGAAAGUUGUCCAUUUCUUCUAGGUUGUCAAAUUUGUUGGCAUACAAUUGCUCAUAGUAUUCUCUCAUGGUUUUUUGUAUUUCUGUAGUAUCUGUUGUGACUUUUCGUUUUUUAUUUCUGAUUUUGUUUAUUUUUUUUUCUCUCCUCUUCUUCAUGAGUCUAGCCAGAGGUUUGUCAAUUUUGUUUGCCUUUUCAAAGAACCAGUUCUUGAUUUUACUGAUUUUUUUUCUCUUGUUUUUCGAAUCUCUAUUUUAUUGAUUUCCUCUUUGAUCUUUAUGAUUUCCUUCCUUCUGCUGACCUUAGGUUUUGUUGGUUCUUCUUUUUCUAAUUCAUUUAGGUGGUGGGUUAAAUUGUUGAUUUGAGAUCUUUCUUCUUUUUUGAGGAAGGCCUGUAUUGCUAUGAAUUUCCCUCUGAACACUGCUUUUGCAGCACCCCAUAGAUUUUGUGUGGUUGUGUCUUCAUUAUCCUUUGUCUCGAGGUAUUUUUUAAUUUCCUUCUUGAUUUCCUCAUUGACCCAUUGGUUUCUUAGUAACAUGUUGUUUAGUCUCCAUGUAGUAGGUUUUUUCUCACUUCUUUUCCGUGGUUGAUUUCUAGUUUCAUGCCAUUGUGGUCAGAGGAGAUACUUGAAAUAAUUUCUGUACUCUUAAAUUUGUUGAGGUUAGCUUUGUGCCCCAGUAUGUGAUAAAUUCUUGAGAAUAUUCCAUAUGCACUUGAGAAGAAUGUAUAUUCUGAUUUUUUUGGAUGUAGUGUCCUGAAAAUGUCAAUUAAGUCUAACUUUUCUAUUGUAUCCCUUAGGAUAUCUGUUGCCUUAUUGAUUUUCUGUCUAGAGGAUCUGUCCAUUGAUGUGAGUGGGGUGUUAAAUUCUCCUACUAUAAUUGUAUUCUGAUCAUUUUCUCCUUUUAUGUCUGUAAGUAUUUGUUGUAGGUAUCUGGGUGCUCUUAUAUUAGGGGCAUAUAUAUUGAUGAUUGUAGUAUCUUCUUCUUGAACAGAUCCUUUAACCAUUAAAUAGUGACCUUCUUUGUUUUCUUUACGGCCUCCAUUUUAAAGUCUAUUUUGUGUGAUAUGAGUAUUGCAAUGCCUGCUUUCCUGUCUUGUCCAUUGGCAUGAAAUACCUUUUCCCAUCUCCUCACUUUUAAUCUAUAUGUGUCCUUUGUCCUAAGGUGAGUUUCUUGUAGGCAGCAGAUUGAAGGUUUUUGCUUUUUUAUCCAAUCUGCCACUCUGUGUCUUUUGAUUGGAGCAUUCAGUCCAUUGAUAUUUAUGGUGAUUUUUGAUAGAUACGUAUUUAUUGCCAUUUUAAACCUUAUUUUCCAGUUGAUUCUAUGUUUAACUUUUGUUCCUUUCUUUUUUUGGUUGGAUGGCUUCCAUUUAUUUUCUGCUUGAGUUCUUUUCUUUUCAGUUUUUGAGUGUAAUGUUUGGUUUUGAUUUGUGGUUGCCCUGUUUUUUAAGUAUUUUAACCCCUUCCUAUAUCUGCUUGCUUUAGCCUGAUAGUCAUAUAGGCUCAAACACAUCAUUAAAAUAAAGAAUCUAUAUUUUUCUUACUUUCCUUCCCCACAUUGUAUGAUUUUGAUGUCUUUUUUAAAAACAUCUUCAUGUUUAGAUCUGUAUGCUGGCUUAUUUAAGUGAUUGCUUUCCAAUUGCGGUUUCCUCCAUUCUAAUUCUUCUUACUUUUUUUUUUUUUUUUAAUUUGGAGGAACCCUUUUAGUAUUUCUUUUAGAAUGUGUUUAGUAUUGCUGUACUCUUUUAGCUUUUGUUUGUUGGAGAAAUUCUUUAUUUCCCUUUCUAUUUUUAAAUGAUAUUCUUGCUGGAUAGAGUAUUCUAGGUUGCAAAUUUUAUCCUUUCAGCACUUUAAAUAUAUCUUGCCACUCCCUUCUGGCUUGUAAUGUUUCUGUGGAGAAAUCAGCUGAUAGCCUUAUGGGGGUUCCCUUAUAAUUAAUGCUUUGCUUUUCUCUUCCUGCUUUUAGAAUCUUCUCUUUAACUUUUGCCAUAUUUAUUAUAAUAUGUCUUGGCACGGGCCUAUUUGGAUUCAACUUGUUUGGGGCCCUAUGUGCUUCCUAUAUCUUGCUAUGAGUUUCCUUUCAAUUUGGAAAGUUUUUAGAUACAAUUUCUUCAAAUAUAUUUUUGAUCCCCUUUUCUUUUUCUUCUCCUUCUGGAAUUCCUACUAUGCAUAGCUUGGCCUGCUUUAUGUUAUCCCAUAGAUCUCUUUUAUUGCCUUCAUGUUUUUUUAAUUUGGUUUUCUGUCUGCUGUCCUGACUGGGUGAUUUCUAUUAUUGUAUCUUGCACAUCACUAAGUCAUUCCUCCACAUUAUUCAUUCUGCUCUUUUUUGCCUUUAGCUCAGUUUACAUCUCUGCAAAUGAAUUUUCUAGUUUUCCUUGGUUCCUCCUUGUAUUUUCUAGUUCCUUUCUAAAGGAAUUGCAUUACUGUUCAUAUGCUUUCUUAAUUCCUUAAGUAUUUUCACUAUCUCCCUUUUGAACUCAAUGUCUGUCUUACUGCAGAGGUCUGUUUCAUUGUUGACUAUUUUAGGUUAAUUCUCCUGUUCCUUUAAUUGGGAUUGGUUUCUGAGCUUCUUCAUCCUGCUUCUAUUUUUCUGUGAGUUUGGGGAAGCCAAACUGUAAUCUUGUAAGCCUACUUCUAUGCAAGAAUGUAUUUUUUGUUGGGGUUACUAUUUACUUUUGGUGUGGGAGUUUCAAUAUUUGCUGUCUCUUUCUUUGGUGUGAGUAGGCUCUUAUCCCCAGGAUGCUCAGUGUGUUUUCAGGGAGAAGGAGGCAAUAGGUAGGGCCAGCAGUCAGUGCCUGGUUGCUGGGCUCUCAACAGCAGCAAGGACUUGCAGGAAGGUGACACAGGCUACUCCUUGUUGCAGGGCCCUGGGAAGUGGUAAUGAGCUCUAGGCAGAUUUACAAGGUGACCAGAGCAUUUGGCAGUAGCAACAGCAGGGUGCAUGAGUUCCCAGGGGAGUGAGAGCUACAACAGCUAGUGUUCGAUUGCAGUGCCCUCCUCUGAGGUGAUUGGAACCACAGGUAGUUCCUGUUCAGGGUCCCCUAGUGGUAGCAGGCCACAACUGCCUCUGAAGUCAGUGAUAACUGUGGUGGUUUGCCCCUGGCACCUGUAGACCUUGCAUGAAGCAACCCAUCUCACUUAGCCCACAUAGGAGGUGCUGCACAGGCUGCUCCUAGUUGUAGGCACCUGGGAAGGGACAGUGACCAAGUGUCUGGGUGUUGCCCAGAGCAUUUGGCAGUGGCAGCUGCAGGGCUAGUGUGUUCCCAGGGGAGUGAAAGCAACAGUGUAUGGUGCUUGGUUGCAAUGCCCUGUUUUUUUCUUUUUUGCUAACCCUUGAGGUGACUGGGUUGCAGGUGGAGCCCACUCACAGACCCUCAGUGGUGGCAAGCCACGCCUCUCUCUGGCCUCUGAGAUGACUGUCGUAGUCUGUCCCUGCCACCUGUAGAUUGUGCAAGUGGCACCACAUCACAUUUAGCUCCCUGAUGCCCUUAGCCCACACAAGAGGUGCCUGGCUACUGAUAGCCUGUACAAGAAACACCCAGUCUCCCUAAAUGAACAAGAGGCUUCUCUGUGCCCGCAGCCUCACCAGAGCUGCCCUGCCCUCUGAGAGCCUGCGGGUAUGCACACACCUGGGCAUGGGGAGUUUCCUAUGGUGGUCCGCCUCUCCUCUCGCCCUCCCCAACAAUGGUGUCUUGCCUCUCUUGUGGGCUUGGACCUUCUGGGUUCCCUCUGCUGUGGUGUUCCCCUCCCCAGCCUGUGGCACAGAGCCCUCCUGCCCAUGGCACACUGCUCCUUAGCGCCUUAGGCUGUCUCCACACCAUCAACCCCAGUCCUCUCCCUGGGACCUACUUUCGGAGCCUAAGUCUCAGCACCUAGCCCCUGCUGGAGCAUCUCAGGCUGUGAUGUCCUGGAUGGUGGUUCAGAUGAUCUCUGCACCUCUCACUCUGCUUUGCCACUCUCAGUCUAGCUGCUGUGCUUUUCUCGGCGACUUUGAGGUCCCUCCAACUCGGCUGAAGUUAGGUGGCUUCCCAGGAUGUGGGUUCCUUUUCUCCUUCACAGCUUUCUCUCAGGAAUGCUAAGCCCGUCCUGAUUCCUUUUUUCUCUCUCUCUUUUUUUCUUUUGUUCUACCCGGUUACGUCAAGGGUUUAUUGACCUUUUUGGAGGUUUAAGUUCUUCUGCCAGCAUUCAGUUGAUGUUCUGUGCGAGUCGUUUCAUAGGUAGAUGAGUUUUUUUGAUGUGUUUGUGGGAGAAGUUGAGCGCAAUCUCUUACUCUCCCACCGUCUUGCUCCACCUCCCCUCCUUAUUAUUAAAGACAAUCUGAAUUAGGUUUUCUGUUACUUGGAAUCAAUAGUAUCGAACAUGGUAAGAUAAGUACUAUUUUUUAAUGUACUUUCUGUGUGUACAAAACUUUCAACAUAAACUCAAUCUUCACACCACCCUGGGAAGAGAACCUCAUUAUCUCUGUUUUACAAAUCAGAGAGCCAAAACUCAGAAUUGCUGCUGAAGGUAGCAGAGUAGAGAUUUGGAUCUGAUUCCAUCAAGACCCAAAGCCUGGGCUCUUUCCUUUUUUGUUGUAUUAUAUUCCAAUUAUGGAGUCUCAUAUCCCCUGCAGGUGUACCAUUAGAGUUCUGUGUUCAAUCUGUAACAUGCUUUUUUCUGACUUCUGUCUGGGACUAUUUCCAACCACCACUGUUUUUGAGGUAUAGGCUGUGCGAAAGCACAUUUUAUUAUUAUUUUUUUUACUGCUGAAUACCCUGAUGAGAUUCAGGAAAUACAAAUCAAAGUUAUAUUAACAGAUUAGAAUCUGUUUUUGAAAUAGACUCAAGUAUUUAGGGAGAAUUGAAUGCAGUUCUUUUAAAAAAAUGUUAUUGAAGUAUAGUUGAUUUACAAUAUUGUGUUAAUUUCUGCUGUACAGCAAAGUGACUCAGUUAUAUAUAUAUAUAUAUGUGUAUAUAUAUAUAUAUACACAUGCAUAUAUAUGUUCCUUUUCAUAUUCUUUCUCAUUAUGAUUUAUCACAGGAUUUUGAAUAUAGUUCCCUGUGCUGUACAGUAAGACCUUGUUGUUUAUCCAUCCUGUAUAUAAUAGUUUGCCUCUGCUAAUCCCAAACUCCCAAUCCUUCUCUCCCCUCCCCAGCUUUCCCUUGGCGACCACACGUCUAUUCUCUAUAUCUGUGAGUCUGUUUUUCUUUUGUACACAUGUUGCUUUGUGUCGUAUUUUAGAUACUACUUAGAAGCGAUAUCACAUGAUAUUUGUCUUUCUCUUUCUGACUUACCUUACUUAGUAUGAUAAUCUCUAAUUCCAUCCAUGUUGCUGCAUGGCAUUAUUUCUGAAUGCACUUCUUUUAAAUCCUGCCUGAAAUGGUAACAGGACAUAGCAGAACGUAUGGGGAUUUGGAAUUAGAUAGAUAUGGAUAAAAAUUCCAGGUCUAGGAUAUAUGGAUUUAUGGGGUGGCAGAUUAAAUGUGCCUAACAGAUAUGCUACCAAAAUAUCACUUAAAAU
rnacentral:lncRNA from 1 species